GCAGCCGCCUUUUCACGUCCCUUCAGUUGAGUGUGGCGCCUACAUUAACAACAUCACCUUGAAGUUAAUGCUCAUCAGAAUCAUGGGCAUAGCCAGACUAGCUAAUCGUCUUUUCUUAAUAAUUAUUCUUAUCUUUCUGGCUCUCGUGAUCUUAUACGAUUAUAACAAGCAGGUCAUCCUGGAAGAUUUGACUCUCCGCAAAUAUUUCGAUUCAGCAGGUGAGCGC
rnacentral:lncRNA from 1 species